rnacentral:rRNA from 1 species
AAAUUGAAGAGUUUGAUCAUGGCUCAGAUUGAACGCUGGCGGCAGGCCUAACACAUGCAAGUCGAACGGUAACAGGAAGAAGCUUGCUUCUUUGCUGACGAGUGGCGGACGGGUGAGUAAUGUCUGGGAAACUGCCUGAUGGAGGGGGAUAACUACUGGAAACGGUAGCUAAUACCGCAUAACGUCGCAAGACCAAAGAGGGGGACCUUCUGGCCUCUUGCCAUCGGAUGUGCCCAGAUGGGAUUAGCUAGUAGGUGGGGUAACGGCUCACCUAGGCGACGAUCCCUAGCUGGUCUGAGAGGAUGACCAGCCACACUGGAACUGAGACACGGUCCAGACUCCUACGGGAGGCAGCAGUGGGGAAUAUUGCACAAUGGGCGCAAGCCUGAUGCAGCCAUGCCGCGUGUAUGAAGAAGGCCUUCGGGUUGUAAAGUACUUUCAGCGGGGAGGAAGGGAGUAAAGUUAAUACCUUUGCUCAUUGACGUUACCCGCAGAAGAAGCACCGGCUAACUCCGUGCCAGCAGCCGCGGUAAUACGGAGGGUGCAAGCGUUAAUCGGAAUUACUGGGCGUAAAGCGCACGCAGGCGGUUUGUUAAGUCAG